rnacentral:rRNA from 1 species
AGAGUUUGAUCAUGGCUCAGAUUGAACGCUGGCGGCAGGCCUAACACAUGCAAGUCGAACGGUAACAGGAAGCAGCUUGCUGCUUCGCUGACGAGUGGCGGACGGGUGAGUAAUGUCUGGGAAACUGCCUGAUGGAGGGGGAUAACUACUGGAAACGGUGGCUAAUACCGCAUAACGUCGCAAGACCAAAGAGGGGGACCUUCGGGCCUCUUGCCAUCAGAUGUGCCCAGAUGGGAUUAGCUAGUUGGUGAGGUAACGGCUCACCAAGGCGACGAUCCCUAGCUGGUCUGAGAGGAUGACCAGCCACACUGGAACUGAGACACGGUCCAGACUCCUACGGGAGGCAGCAGUGGGGAAUAUUGCACAAUGGGCGCAAGCCUGAUGCAGCCAUGCCGCGUGUAUGAAGAAGGCCUUCGGGUUGUAAAGUACUUUCAGCGGGGAGGAAGGUGUUGUGGUUAAUAACCACAGCAAUUGACGUUACCCGCAGAAGAAGCACCGGCUAACUCCGUGCCAGCAGCCGCGGUAAUACGGAGGGUGCAAGCGUUAAUCGGAAUUACUGGGCGUAAAGCGCACGCAGGCGGUCUGUCAAGUCGGAUGUGAAAUCCCCGGGCUCAACCUGGGAACUGCAUUCGAAACUGGCAGGCUUGAGUCUUGUAGAGGGGGGUAGAAUUCCAGGUGUAGCGGUGAAAUGCGUAGAGAUCUGGAGGAAUACCGGUGGCGAAGGCGGCCCCCUGGACAAAGACUGACGCUCAGGUGCGAAAGCGUGGGGAGCAAACAGGAUUAGAUACCCUGGUAGUCCACGCCGUAAACGAUGUCUACUUGGAGGUUGUGCCCUUGAGGCGUGGCUUCCGGAGCUAACGCGUUAAGUAGACCGCCUGGGGAGUACGGCCGCAAGGUUAAAACUCAAAUGAAUUGACGGGGGCCCGCACAAGCGGUGGAGCAUGUGGUUUAAUUCGAUGCAACGCGAAGAACCUUACCUGGUCUUGACAUCCACGGAAGUUUUCAGAGAUGAGAAUGUGCCUUCGGGAACCGUGAGACAGGUGCUGCAUGGCUGUCGUCAGCUCGUGUUGUGAAAUGUUGGGUUAAGUCCCGCAACGAGCGCAACCCUUAUCCUUUGUUGCCAGCGGUUAGGCCGGGAACUCAAAGGAGACUGCCAGUGAUAAACUGGAGGAAGGUGGGGAUGACGUCAAGUCAUCAUGGCCCUUACGACCAGGGCUACACACGUGCUACAAUGGCGCAUACAAAGAGAAGCGACCUCGCGAGAGCAAGCGGACCUCAUAAAGUGCGUCGUAGUCCGGAUUGGAGUCUGCAACUCGACUCCAUGAAGUCGGAAUCGCUAGUAAUCGUGGAUCAGAAUGCCACGGUGAAUACGUUCCCGGGCCUUGUACACACCGCCCGUCACACCAUGGGAGUGGGUUGCAAAAGAAGUAGGUAGCUUAACCUUCGGGAGGGCGCUUACCACUUUGUGAUUCAUGACUGGGGUGAAGUCGUAACAAGGUAACCGUAGGGGAACCUGCGGUUGGAUCACCU